UUGAAAUCUUCUUUAUAGCAUGUUUGCCAAACAAGCCUCAAAGAUCGAGGUAAAAAAAAAACAACUUUCUUUGAUAAUUUUUUGUCAAGCCGAACUUUUAAGGUUCUCUAAAAGCUCAGCCAGCCACGCGGGACGGUUUCUUUACAAUGGUCCAAAAACUAACCACCAACCUAAAACAAGCAGCCUAAGAUUUUUGCUACCAAAAAGGCCAUAAAUGCCCUCCUUCAUUUCUUGGAAUAUCAAAACAGCUGAUGCAAUGAGCUUGCCAUGACUUGUGCCCAGAAACCAAACAUCCGAAAAAAACAACAACCACAGCUGACUUAGGAUUUUGGCAUCCAGAUCCUGCCUUACCUAAAAAGAAAAACAAAGAAUGCUUCCUUUCCCUUGUUUUUUAUACAGCCGAAAUGCACCAUCAGGAAAGCUUCUUCCCUCUUUCUUUUAACAAAGCAAGAACAUCAUGUUAAACCUUUGAACUAAAAGUUACAGACCUACUGAUUCAGCUCAUAUGAAACCCAAAAAAAGGCACUUAUAACUUUAGGCAAUCGACAACACAGCAAAGCAUAGAGCAUUCACAUAAAAAGGAAACCAUAAGUUUAUUUAAAAUCCCUCACAGAAGCUAGCAGAGGUAAUGAUACCCACCACUAUGAUGCUGCGCUCUCCUGACUCGUGAUGACGGUGCAGAGAAGGAGGCCAGUCGGUGCCGUUGCUACUGAUAAACUGAUCUGUGGAAGCUGGUGCAGUGCUGGAGGAUGACGAUUAGUGUUGUCUGUUGAUGGAUGAGAACUGCUACCUCCAGGGUCUGUGCCAAAGCUGCGCUGUUCUGCUGCUGAAGGAAUACUGCUGGGCGUUGCUGCUGUUUGUUGUGAAGGACAUGUUUUUUAACAUAAAAAAAUCCCAAAU
rnacentral:lncRNA from 1 species